rnacentral:rRNA from 1 species
GUCGAGCGGCAGCACGGGUACUUGUACCUGGUGGCGAGCGGCGGACGGGUGAGUAAUGCCUAGGAAUCUGCCUGGUAGUGGGGGAUAACGCUCGGAAACGGACGCUAAUACCGCAUACGUCCUACGGGAGAAAGCAGGGGACCUUCGGGCCUUGCGCUAUCAGAUGAGCCUAGGUCGGAUUAGCUAGUUGGUGAGGUAAUGGCUCACCAAGGCGACGAUCCGUAACUGGUCUGAGAGGAUGAUCAGUCACACUGGAACUGAGACACGGUCCAGACUCCUACGGGAGGCAGCAGUGGGGAAUAUUGGACAAUGGGCGAAAGCCUGAUCCAGCCAUGCCGCGUGUGUGAAGAAGGUCUUCGGAUUGUAAAGCACUUUAAGUUGGGAGGAAGGGCAGUUACCUAAUACGUGUCUGUUUUGACGUUACCGACAGAAUAAGCACCGGCUAACUCUGUGCCAGCAGCCGCGGUAAUACAGAGGGUGCAAGCGUUAAUCGGAAUUACUGGGCGUAAAGCGCGCGUAGGUGGUUUGUUAAGUUGAAUGUGAAAUCCCCGGGCUCAACCUGGGAACUGCAUCCAAAACUGGCAAGCUAGAGUAUGGUAGAGGGUGGUGGAAUUUCCUGUGUAGCGGUGAAAUGCGUAGAUAUAGGAAGGAACACCAGUGGCGAAGGCGACCACCUGGACUGAUACUGACACUGAGGUGCGAAAGCGUGGGGAGCAAAC